rnacentral:misc_RNA from 1 species
AACGCACCUUGCGCUCCUUGGUAUUCUGAGGAGCAUGCCUGUUUGAGUGUCAUGAAAAUUUCAAAGCCUUUAGUAAAAUUUAAAGGUGUUUAUUGGACUUUGGAGGCUGCUGGAAUAACUUUUCAGCUCUUCUGAAAUGCAUUAGUGAAAUUUUGAAUUUAUUUAUUACUGGCUAUUCUGCGGUAUGAUAACUAUCUAUACCAGUUAGAAUUUUCAGGUUUUCUUUAUUUAAGAACAUAAAUAAAUAAUAAUUUUUGCUUCAAAUUGUCUUAACCGACAGUGAUAGAAUAAUUUGACCUCAAAUCAAGUAGGACUACCCGCUGAACUUAA